AAUGGAUGAGCUCCGAGUGCCAGACUGAACAAACACAGCAAAAAAACAAAAAAAAAAGGAACUGAAGGAUUACCGCUUUAAAGGAGGGUUACACCAACAAGACUUUUAACCUGGGAAGGAAUAUCGAUUGAUAAAUUCUGGACUUUUUUUAGACUAAAGGUUUGUCUGAUUUUGAUUUUUAACUUGUCUGGAGGACAAAUGUUUCUGUGACAGUUCGUCUGUUGACAACACAUGGACAAACUACCCACAAUGCUGUGCAAAGAAACAAUGGCAUCAUGCUUUUUAGGAGUCCACUUCCAUAAUGGAUUUAUGCAGUAAUUUUCCCUGCCCAGUUUCUCCCAGCUGGGAUUCUCACUGUCACAUGCUGCAUGUGACGGCACACAGGAUGACUAGUGUGGCAUUAGGAAUGUGCAUGUGGAGAAUUCAGACAUCAGUGUAUGUGUGUGUGUGCAUGAAAACACAUACCACACACUGCCUACCAAUUACAAAUGCAGCAGAGACACACGAAACUCCUGCUCAACACAUUUAUCUGAAAGCGCAGUGUAAGUUAUACAUCUGUCGCCCAGUCUGCUGUCUUCUGCAAUAUGUUCAUUUUGUUUUUUUUUAAAAGCACUUUUCUUUAUGUUCUCCCUUGUCCCACUUCUUGUUUUCCCCGAUUAUUGAAUUUCUCUGUCCUUUUGUUUUUCUGGAAAGCACCGAACCAAAUGUUUUUGUGCAUAAAAAUGCUUUUGACAUAAAUUCAGUUUGACUCAGUUAACUUGGCUCAGUCCCUCUCCUCUCCUACUCCCUCCUUGCUUCCCAUUCCGGGUAUCCGUGUGCUGAAGGUGGUGUGUCUGAGCAGGGACAACUCCAGCUGUUUCUGCUGAGAUGUGGCGAUGAUGCAUCCAUGGAGCUUGAGUCGGCGGAGGGAAGUGUGAAGCUGUGGCCAGCUGUUUGCCUACACUCCCUCUCCCCCUCUGUUCCUCUUGCAAAACACAUGCAUAAAUACAGAUGCAUGAAUGCUCAUGUGCACGCCAACAUCUACUUAUGUACACACCAGAUUAAUAC
rnacentral:lncRNA from 15 species